UUGGAUAGAGUCAUUAUGGGCCAAGAAUUCUACAGUUUUUGAUGCUAUGCUGUAAUAUUUCUUCCUCAAGGAAGUUAACUAUGAUUGACCCUCAUUGUGACAGUGUUUAAAGGUGGCAGACUUGUUAAUAAAUGAGGUCCCAUGGGAAACGGUCAGAGAAAUGGUCAAAUGUGAAUGACGAGUGUCCUGUAACAAUGAAGAAAGAACUAGUUCUAGAGGCAAAGCAGAAAGUUUCAAGUAAAAGAGAAUGCUCAAGUAAUAGGAUGAGAAACAAGAAGACUGGGACUUGAGGGCCAGUGGAGGGCACUGCAAAGAUAAUUAAUACUGCUACCAUCACAGUUGUGCUGGUGGCUUUCUUAUGACCUUGUGUCUGUUGGUAAUUAAUAAAUACUGCUACCAUCACGGUUGUGCUGGUGGCUUUCUUAUA